AGCUUUGUGUGGUAGCAGUAUUGUAGCCAAUGAUAUUGUUCAUCCAAGGCAAAAUUAUUGCUCAUUGAAAACUUUUCCCAAAGAAG
ensembl:snRNA U4 U4 spliceosomal RNA